UACGUAGGGUGCGAGCGUUGUCCGGAAUUACUGGGCGUAAAGAGCUCGUAGGUGGGUUUGUCGCGUUGUUCGUGAAAACCUGAGGCUUAACCUUGGGCGUGCGGGCGAUACGGGCAGACUGGAGUACUGCAGGGGGAGACUGGAAUUCCUGGUGUAGCGGUGGAAUGCGCAGAUAUCAGGAGGAACACCGGUGGCGAAGGC
rnacentral:rRNA from 1 species